rnacentral:rRNA from 1 species
UACGUAGGGUGCAAGCGUUGUCCGGAAUUAUUGGGCGUAAAGAGCUCGUAGGCGGUUUGUUGCGUCGGCUGUGAAAUCCCGAGGCUCAACCUCGGGUCUGCAGUCGAUACGGGCAUCACUGGAGUUCGGCAGGGGAGACUGGAAUUCCUGGUGUAGCGGUGAAAUGCGCAGAUAUCAGGAGGAACACCGGUGGCGAAGGCGGGUCUCUGGGCCGAUACUGACGCUGAGGAGCGAAAGCGUGGGGAGCGAACAGG